rnacentral:rRNA from 1 species
GCCCAGCCCUAAACCUUGAUAGCACCUUAUCCAAGCUAUCCGCCGGGGAACUACGAGCAUUAGCUUAAAACCCAAAGGACUUGGCGGUGCUUUAGAUCCACCUAGAGGAGCCUGUUCUAUAACCGAUAAUCCCCGUUAAACCUCACCCCCUCUUGCCUUUCAGCCUAUAUACCACCGUCGCCAGCUUACCCUGUGAGGGACCUAUAGUAAGCUCAAUCAGUGAUACCCCAAAUGACAGGUCGAGGUGUAGCAUAUGGGGGGGGAAGAAAUGGGCUACAUUCCCUUCUGCAGGGAAUACGGAAAAUGUAAUGAAAUAUUACAUUAUUAUGAAGGAGGAUUUAGUAGUAAGUAGAAAACAGAGAGUUCUACUGAAAUUGGCCCUGAAGCGCGCACACACCGCCCGUCACUCUCUCCUGCCAGCAAACUACCGGUUCAUAACCCAUUAACAUAGGCAAAGGGGAGGCAAGUCGUAACAUGGUAAGCGUACCGGAAGGUGCGCUUGGAAAAAU